ACUUAGUGGCGGACGGGUGAGUAACACGUGAGCAACCUGCCUUUCAGAGGGGGAUAACGUUUGGAAACGAACGAUAAUACCGCAUAACAUAUAUUUGAGGCAUCUCAGAUAUAUCAAAGGAGCAAUCCGCUGAAAGAUGGGCUCGCGUCCGAUUAGCUAGUUGGAGUGGUAACGGCACACCAAGGCAACGAUCGGUAGCCGGACUGAGAGGUUGAUCGGCCACAUUGGGACUGAGACACGGCCCAGACUCCUACGGGAGGCAGCAGUGGGGGAUAUUGCACAAUGGAGGAAACUCUGAUGCAGCGACGCCGCGUGAGGGAAGAAGGUUUUCGGAUUGUAAACCUCUGUCUUUAGUGACGAUAAUGACGGUAGCUAAAGAGGAAGCCACGGCUAACUACGUGCCAGCAGCCGCGGUAAUACGUAGGUGGCAAGCGUUGUCCGGAAUUACUGGGUGUAAAGGGAGCGUAGGCGGCUAAGCAAGUCAGGCGUGAAAUCUAUGGGCUUAACCCAUAAACUGCGUUUGAAACUGUUUAGCUUGAGUGAUGUAGAGGUAGGCGGAAUUCCCGGUGUAGCGGUGGAAUGCGUAGAGAUCGGGAGGAACACCAGUGGCGAAGGCGGCCUACUGGGCAUUAACUGACGCUGAAGCACGAAAGCAUGGGUAGCAAACAGGAUUAGAUACCCUGGUAGUCCAUGCCGUAAACGAUGAUUACUAGGUGUGGGGGGUCUGACCCCCUCCGUGCCGGAGUUAACACUUAUAAGUAAUCCAUACUGGGGAGUACGGCCGCAAGGCUGAA
rnacentral:rRNA from 1 species